AGCGAACGCUGGCGGCAGGCCUAACACAUGCAAGUCGAACGGAUCCUUCGGGAUUAGUGGCGGACGGGUGAGUAACACGUGGGAACGUGCCCUUUGGUUCGGAACAACUCAGGGAAACUUGAGCUAAUACCGGAAGUGCCCUUCGGGGGAAAGAUUUAUCGCCAUUGGAGCGGCCCGCGUCUGAUUAGCUAGUUGGUGAGGUAACGGCCCACCAAGGCGACGAUCAGUAGCUGGUCUGAGAGGAUGAUCAGCCACACUGGGACUGAGACACGGCCCAGACUCCUACGGGAGGCAGCAGUGGGGAAUCUUGCGCAAUGGGCGAAAGCCUGACGCAGCCAUGCCGCGUGAAUGAUGAAGGUCUUAGGAUUGUAAAAUUCCUUCAGCGGGGACGAUAAUGACGGUACCCGCAGAAGAAGCUCCGGCUAACUUCGUG
rnacentral:rRNA from 1 species